UUCAUGCACUCAGUUAUUAACACUCUCGCAGCCCUGAACUCAUUUCUGACUAGCUGUACCUCUACAGUUCUUUAUGCUUAGGUAGAAGGCAGUCAUUCAGUUGUUUCAGAUUGUUUUAAAGUCAGCUGGUCAAGGUGACCCUGGUGCCCCGGGCACAGGCCUCAUUACUCAGGCACUUCAUGUUCCUAAAUGAAGUUGCUCUGUCUGAAGCGUCAGCUCAUAUUGUCUGUCAUCUUCUGUGCGCUGAGAGCAGCACAGCUAUCUGGAAUUAGAUGUCAUUUUUUUCUUUUUUAAAGUCCAAAGACAUUUCAUCUCAAUAAAAGCUCAGCAGAUUCUGUGCGGUGGUUGAGCACUCUGCUGCGAAGCUCUCCAAAUCCUAAGAAACAGUGCUGACAAUAAAUGAUUGCUGGCUGGUACAAGGAUGGUGCAUCAUUUUUUUAAUUAAAUAAACUCAGGUGGAAAGGACAUCCAGGGUGAGAACAUUAAAGGACAGUGGUGGAUUACAGGUCUGAGAAAAAAUUGAGGAGCAUUUUAUCCUUCUGCCUUUCUGGAGCUUUGUGGAGAAGAACAAUGCGUACGGACAAUAUAUAUAGCCUGUACCUUUACAGCUACCUCGAGGCAGCCUCCAGACACAUGCCACAGAUUCCUCAAGACUUUGUUCCACUUCAGGGUGUCUUAAAGACUGCUUGGAUAUGUCUCCUUUUGUAUAACAGUAUGAUUAAAAGAUUUCAGCAUAUUCUCUCGCUAUAACAUCUUACAUUACUGUUGGAUAAAAUGUUUACUAAAAUUAUAUUUGAUCGUGAUAGAUCUUUGAAGAAACUAAGUAAAUAGGUAAAAUUGCUUAUAUUCUGGAAAUUUUACCUGCAAUAAUCAUUUAAAUUAGUUGUUAUCUUUAGAACUGAAGACACUCAUCACUAAAAUAACUUAUUGUGACAAUGAGAAAGCAGAAUCAUUCAAGUUUGUUUUUCUUCCUCGAGGAUACUUUGUAGAUUUGUUCUAAAAUUUUUGGUAGCUUUAUUUUCUACAUUAAUUAAAGAAGAAGUUUUACAGGUCCUUUCUAGGUUUAAAAACUGUUA